CGCAGCCAGCCCUCUCCAGCCAACCCAGCCUCGCCCUCACCCCUCCCAGCCUCUGUUCCAAGGCCCAGGCGCGCCCGCGUGGGGCACGUGUCCCUGAACGCCCCGCCUCCGGCCAGCCUGACCGCUCAGUGCUCGGUGUCACUUCUGGCACGUCUCCACAUUCCUCAAAUCCCAGAGAGGACCUCGAAAUAGGAUAGAAAACAAGAAUUUAAAUAAGAAGCAACAGGGCUGCCCGCUCUGGCUGGGGAGGGCCUCGGCCCCCGCCUGCACCUGCAGCCCUUGUUUCUUGCGCGGUUUUGCAACUUCAGAGCCAUCCACACUCGCAGGCCAUUUUUAGCGGCCUGUUGGAAAGGGAAGACGAUGAAGUCGGGCUAAGCAGGGCAACGCCUUGCCCUCUGAGAGGCGUGGAGGGCCCUUGGGAAGCUCAGAGGGCUACGAUAAAAUGGCUAAACGACCUUCCUCUCCUCCAAGUCACCAAAUACGAGGCAGCAGCCUAACCUGGAGCCCUGGUUCCUGUGCUCUGCCAGAGGAAGCCUGUGAGCUAGGACAGAGCAGAUGCUGCCUCUGAUUCCAAUGCCAACACCCCUGACAAGCAUGGACACUGAGCAGCCUGCACACGCAUGAAUCCAAAAUCUGGCUCUGGCCCGACGGACAGUCAAGGAAAGAAAGAAGUCACAACAUAAUUUAAUACUCGAUAAGUACAGGGAUACCC
rnacentral:lncRNA from 1 species